UAUAUAUGAAUUAAAAAAAAAUUGAGGGGUGGCCGUGACCUUCCCACGUCCCCCUCAGUUCCGCCACUGGUUAUUGUGCAAUUGAUUUGCGCCGCAGAAGAUGAAUUUGGGAUGUGAGGUGAAAUAGAAGAUGAAGAUGAAGCAGUAAGAUGAUGAAGGUGAGCCAAGAAGAUGAAGAUGAGUGAAGAGUGAAGAAUGAAGAAUAAAGAAUGAAGAAGAACCCCCAAAAUGAAGAUAGAAUCAAGAGUCAUGGUGGUCUGAGGAUAAAUUGGAAAUAAGUACUGAGGUCUGAAUGGGAUGGCGAUGUCGGUAAAUUUGAUGAUUCUGCCACUGCAGGGACUUGCUCCAGGGUAAUUAUGCAGGAUGCACCUUAAGGGAUGGAUGUAUGUUAUGGCUUGGCGAAUCGGUUUAGAUUGGGCUAACACCAAGUCACAAACUUGCAGGAAGUUAGCAGCAAAAGCCUCAUGUUGGGCAACAUGCUUGUUAGGCUGUCAUGACAACAAUCUCGGAUGUGGCUGCCACACGAUCGAAGCUUUGUAGCAUGUUUAAGGCCUUGCUCGAGUUGGACAAGGAUGCAGCAAGGGAUCACCAAGAUGAACGAGGAUUUCUCCAUCAUUUCAAUUAGUGUAAUACAUAACGUGAUGCUUGUAAUUAAACCCUCAUUUGGGUCAAUCAAAUGUAAUACAUCAUAAUAUGAUUAAUUUUAACAUGGUGGAUCCAAACAUAAUUCAAGUGCAAUUAUUGUAUCAUGUAUGAA